UUUCCGGUUGAUCCCGCCGGAGGCUACCGCUAUUGGAGUUCGAUUAAGCCAUGCGAGUCGCGAGUCUUAGGGACUCGGCGUACCGCUCAGUAACACGUGGGUAACCUGCCCUAUACUGGGGGAUAACCUCGGGAAACUGAGAAUAAUACCCCAUAGUUCACCACGCCUGGAACGGUGGGUGGAUCAAAGCUCCGGCGGCAUAGGAUGGGCCUGCGGCGUAUCAGGUUGUAGGGGGUGUAAUGUACCCUCUAGCCCUCUACGCGUACGGGUGUUGAGAGACAUCGCCCGGAGAUGGAUUCUGAGACACGAAUCCAGACCCCACGGGGUGCAGCAGGCGCGAAAACUUGGCAAUGCGAGAAAUCGUGACCAGGGAACUCCAAGUGCAUCGGGUAAGACCGAUGCUUUUCUUGACUCUCCAAAGGUCUUGGAAUAAGGGGUGGGUAAGGACGGUGCCAGCCGCCGCGGUAAUACCGGCGCCCCAAGUGGUAGUCGCUUUUAUUGGGCCUAAAACGUCCGUAGCCGGUCUGGUACAUUCGUGGGUAAAUCAACCAGCUCAACUGGUUGAAUUCUGCGAGCACGGCCAGACUUGGGACCGGGAGAGGUGUGGGGUACUCUCAGGAUAGGGGUAAAAUCCUGUCAUCCUGAGAGGACCACCUGUUGCGAAGGCGCCACACUAGAGC
rnacentral:rRNA from 1 species